CGCAUGGGCACAUUCGCCCGCAUUCCGAUGGAAGAAUUAAAUACUCAAAAAUUCUAUUCUCUGCAACUAACAUUCUCUGCUUAGAGAAAUGGCCGACCAUUGAGUUUUCCGGUCCUUGCAUGUAAGUUGGGUCAUAAAGCAGCAUGAAUCUUGUGAAAUUUAAGUAAAGAGAAAUUAAAUGAUUCAUCAACUAGGGAUAGCAAUCUUACUCCUGAUUUGAGCAGGAAUUCAAGGAUCCCUUGCCUGAAACAGACAACAUACCACUAGAGAAAUGUUUGAUUUUUUGGUGACACCUAUCAUUGAUCAAUAACUUCAUCUAUCAUUGUUGACAUCCAUGAUCCAUGAAAUGAACCUUGUUUAUGAAACUUUUCUGAAGGACAAAUAUAUUACUAGCUAAGUCACUUCUCAUUUUGCCUGCUCUUUCAAAUAAACCAACGGAAAGGUGUAAAGCAAGAACACUUAAAACUUUCACUUAUCAUGGUUGAGAUGCUCCUUGUGCUGAUCUAUUAGCAUAACACUGCAGAUCACUUGGGGUUCUGUGUUGUAUUUUCGGCCUUCAUAUCUGCUAAGUGGUGAAUUAGCAGGGAUCACUUAGGAGUUAUAUGAUGGAGUUUGGACUUCCAUAUCUGGUAAAGUUGCUGGGAUCACUUAGGAGUUAUAUGAUGGAGUUUGGACUUCCAUAUCUGGUAAAGUUGCAGCUCAUAUAAGUAGGUACAGAAAACAACAUGAACCUUGUGAUUGCCAAAGUAAAUAUGAAUGAAUGAUUCAUCAACUGGGGUUUUUAAUCUGAGAUUGUACGCCAAACAGACAACAUAUCACUUCAGCAUUCCUUGAUUUUUGGUAACUUUUUUCUGCCAUUGACUGAUAUAUUCGGCUGUCAUUUUUUGACCUCCAUGAUCCAAAAAAAAAUGAACCUUCUUUAUUAAGCUUUGCUCAAGGACAAAUAUAUUUGCUAACUGUCUCUUUGUUUGCCUACUUUUUUCGGAUCGAAAACAAAUGUAAAACUGCAAUAACAUACAUUUUCUGGUUAUCAAUUCUUUUGUG